UUGGUGGAAGUUGCGACCGCUUUGAGUCCACUUGGUUUUCGGUCGCCUUAGCGGUAGCAAAAGGGUAAGCGGGAAAUAAUGAUUUUUUCAGCGCCUCUCUUUGAUUUUUCCCCAAAAUUCAUGGGACUCAGUCAUUCAAUCAUUCAAUCGCUCCAAAACCUAUGGGACUCAGUCAUUCAAUCGCUCCAAAACCAAAUCUCCCUCAAUUGAACCAUCUACAUCCUCUGCUCCAGCAUCACUGCCAACGAUCUGGUGAUUCAAGCGCCUCAAUUUCUCGAAACCCUAACCAUCCUCAAUCGCUCCAAAACCCUAAUCGCCCCCAAAUGUAGCAGCCGUUUCACUUAAACAACAUCAUCAUCAUUUGAUUAUGGUGAUUUUAGACUUGGAAUUGUGACAUUGCUAUGGAGGUGAUCGAAGCUAGUUGUUAUUGUGUACCAGUCAACCAGUCAAGAACGAUUUCAUGAGUUUGCUUAACCAGGCUUAGUCAGGAUCCAUCACUGAAGCAAGGGAUAUAAAGGAGAUCAGGAGAAUUUGGAUAGAUGUGAACAGGUUCCGCAUUGAGAAGCUAAACUCAAGGUUUUCUCUUAUAAGUUACAGUUUAGUACACAGGUUUUCACAUCUUAGUAAGAGCCUAUGGUAUGUGUUUUUGUCAGUAGAACAGAACAGGCAAGUUAUAUUUUUACUCUAAUCUUGAAGUUAAUCAUAUCAGUGAUGAUUUAAUUGUUUGUUACUGAAGUCAUGUCUAUCAGGAUCAAAUACCCCCUUUUUCAACCAAGGUUGCCAUCUGCUAUAUUGAAUCUUUUUUAGGUGCUCGUAUUUCAUUUUUUUUUUUUUGCAAAUAUAAGCCCAGAGCUUGUUGCUGCAGAUCUUUAGGACAAGUAUAUAAAGGUUAGUUAAUUUGUGGUUGUGAAAUGAAGUAGUUAUUUUCUUUAUAUUUGUCAUUUUGCUGGUUCGAAUUAAGAAGAUUUAUACGGUAGACCUGGCAAACGGGUCGGGUCAUGGGUCAAAACGGGUUCGGGUCAAAACGGGUCAAUUGAAAAAGGAAUUGUUUUGGUUCGGGUCGGAACGGGUUCGGGUCGGAACGAGUUUCGGGUCGGGUUGGUUAAAAAUGCUUUUUUUAAGAGAUUGUACAUCAAGGGGCAAUUUUGUUCAGUUCGAAAUGGUACAGGUCGAAAUGGUACGGGUUGGAACGGUUCGGUAUGAUCUUCGACCUGAGAUGGUACAUCGCAAGCUGAAUUGGACCAGGGUGUUAUCCUUCUUGUAUAAGUGCUUUUGUCAAAAUUUGUUGCUGCAUUAAGUCCUUUGAAUUCUAUGGCUGCAACAUCAUAAGCAUGAGCAGCCUCCUCUUCAGUUCCUGAAAAGAAAAACAUUUACGUCUGAUUAUUUAUUGAUUUCUUUUUUCUAGCAUGUAAAUCUUUUUUUUUUUUUCUUAAAAGGUAUUAUAAGUUCUCUUAAUCUCUACAUGGCUUUUGUAUCAAGAGCAGUAGCUACAUGGAGAAUCUAAGCUAACAAAUUAGUCUUUUUCUUUGAUUUCUAGCUCCUAAAUUCAUCGUUCUGCGAAACUUAUGUGAUGGUGUGUAUUUUGCGUUUUUUCAGGCUUGGUUCAGUGAUGUGUAUGGGAGCAAUGGCGGGUGCCUAUAUUCUUACACUAUUUUCAUGAAAGAGUAAGUGGUUUGAUACUUGUUUCCCCUAUAUGCAGAGCAGCUUCUUGGAAUGAAUGGUUUUACAAUAAGUUCAUGUCGAAAUUGCUUCAAUAUUGCGGUAUGUGUGACAUGUUAAAGGAGUUAUUGAUUCACAGAUACUUCAGUAAGGCGGUCUGUGGUAGUCUAGAAGUCCCAGAAUUAGAAAUCAUUCGAGCAUGCAGGAAGAUUGAAAAGUUGAAAUUGGUUAUCAAGGAGUUCUUUAAGGAAAAGGAUGAAGAAAAAGAAAGAUUAAAUGGAAUUAUUGUUGGGUUGUUUGUUGUAAAUGAAAAAGAUAAGGUGGAUAAAGAUACCAUGCUCAAUAGGAUGUCAGAAGUUGAAGCGAAAGUUGAAGCGAUCACGGUUCGAAAAUAUGCUAUAAACACUUGGUUUUGAGUGUUUUGAUGUUUAUUGUAUUAGGGUGGUUUUGAAACAGAGAUGUUCUAUAUACAUUUUUGGGUUUUGUAGUUUUAUUGAGUGUUUUAUAUAAUUGUAAUUUUAUUGAAAUGUACUUUUAAUAAAAAAACAGGGAAAAUGAGAAAUU